ACCUCUUUGUUCUAGGCAUAACAGAACUCUUGUUUAACUUGCAUAGGUUGGAGUCAGGAAAUUCCUGCAGCUGAUGAUCAGGUGAUCACACUAACCCUCACACCGUGUGACCCCUUGGAGGUCAAAAGCCAGGAGCAGGCAAGCAGCACAGAGGGACAAGCCUACAGCUCUGAUUUGAUCAGGGCUCAUGCAGAGCGAGCCCUAAGCCUAAGCCCUGUGCAGAAUGCUGAGGAGGUGGAGAACCCCAAAGACUUGCAGACUGCUGAGGAGGUGGAGAACCCCAAAGACUUGCAGACCGCUGAGGAGGUGGAGAACCCCAAAGACUUGCAGACCGCUGAGGAGGUGGAGAACCCCAAAGACUUGCAGACCGCUGAGGAGGUGGAGAACCCCAAAGACUUGCAGGCUGCUGAGGUGCAGAGCAGAGGGUCAGAUAUAGGCACAGUGCUUAAUCCAAGACGAAAAAAGAAAACGUCAGAGGCACCAAAGCAUCUGCCUGUGAGGAAAAAGACACAGAUAAACUGCUCCUACCACUCUCGUCUAGAGGCUUUCCCCAUCAGACGAGUUGUAAAAGAAAGAUUGAGAAAUGGCAAAGAAGAAAUAUUGGUUGACUGGAAGCCCUGUCCAGUAUGUGGUAAGGAGUGGGCCCAUUCCUGGCAACCGAAGAAUUUUCUUCAAUGAAUA
rnacentral:lncRNA from 15 species